GACAGCAUUGUAUAGUGGUUUGAGUGCUGGAUUACAGCUCUGGGGACCAGGGUUCAAAUCCGUGCUCUGUCC